ACCUCCCUUGAGAAUUUAUAAAGCAAAGUGAAGGGCUGUUCUGCCACCGCCAUUUUUCUUUCUUUAUUUCCAUUAUUCAAUCGAGAGCUAAUAAAAAUAAGAAUUCUCGCCUCCUCCUCUCCUCUUCUCCAGAAUCUUCAAACUUCCCCCUUUCUUGUAUUAUUCUCCCAUAACCAAGGUACAACGUUGUUCAAUUGAUCCUGCUCUGGCAAAAAAUAUGGAGGGCCGCCGACUCUGCUGUUCCAGUG
rnacentral:lncRNA from 1 species